UUUUGGAGGGGCAAGUCUGGUGCCAGCAGCCACGGAAUUCAGCUCAUAGCGUAUAUUAAGUUGUUGCAGUUAAAAAGCUCGUAGUUGAAUUUCGGGAUUGACACAUCGGUCGUGCCUUAAGGGGUAUGAACUGGUGUAGUCAAUUUCUCACCUUCUGGAGAACCGCGAUGCCCUUAAUUGGGUGUCGCGGGGAACCAGGACCUUUACUUUGAAAAAAUUAGAGUGUUUAAAGCAGGCAUUUUGCUUGAAUACAUUAGCAUGGAAUAAUAAAAUAGGACGGCAUGAUUCUAUUUUGUUGGUUUCUAGGAUCACCGUAAUGAUUAAUAGGGAUAGUUGGGGGCAUUAGUAUUCAAUUGUCAGAGGUGAAAUUCUUGGAUUUAUUGAAGACUAACUACUGCGAAAGCAUUUGCCAAGGAUGUUUUCAUUAAUCAAGAACGAAAGUUAGGGGAUCGAAGACGAUCAGAUACCGUCGUAGUCUUAACCAUAAACUAUGCCGACUAGGAAUCAGACGAUGUUAAUUUUUUAAUGACCCCACCUUACGGGAAACCAAAGUGUUUGGGUUCA
rnacentral:rRNA from 1 species